CGGAAUGAAAGUGAACGGAGGUGGGAGCCCCGCGAGGGGCGCACCAUCNNCCNAUCCAGAUGUCUUCGGAUGGAUUUGAGUACGAGCGCGGCCGUUGGGACCCGAAAGAUGGUGAACUAUGCCUGGGUAGGGUGAAGCCAGAGGAAACUCUGGUGGAGGCUCGCAGCGGUUCUGACGUGCAAAUCGAUCGUCAAACCUGGGCAUAGGGGCGAAAGACUAAUCGAACCAUCUAGUAGCUGGUUCCUGUCGAAGUUUCCCUCAGGAUAGCAGUCGCGCGGGCGGUUUUAUGAGGUAAAGCGAAUGAUUAGAGGCCUUGGGGGUGCAACACCCUUAACCUAUUCUCAAACUUUAAAUAUGUAAGAAGCCCCUGUUGCUUCGGUGAACGGGGGCGUGCGAACGCGGCGCGGCUAGUGGGCCAUUUUUGGUAAGCAGAACUGGCGAUGCGGGAUGAACCGAACGCGGGGUUAAGGUGCCGGAAUGCACGCUCAUCAGACACCACAAAAGAUGUCAAUUCAUCCGGACAGCCGGACGGUGGCCAUGGAAGCCNGAAUCCGC
rnacentral:rRNA from 1 species